GCCAGGCGUGGUGGCGCACGCCUGUAAUCCCAGCUACUGAGGAGGCUGAGGCAGGAGAAUCGCUUGAACCUAGGAGCUGGAGGUUGCAGUGAGCUGAGAUUGCGCCACUGCACUCCAGACUGGGGGACAGAGCGAGAUUCUGUCUCAA
ensembl:misc_RNA Metazoa_SRP Metazoan signal recognition particle RNA